AUGUUUAAGCUAGGGACCUUGUUUAUUUCUUCAGCUCCAAGUUCAUACACUUUCAGCCACAGGUGGGAAAACCAGCCCUCAGAAGGCAAGUGUAUUCAGCAUACUCUCAGCAAGCUAGGCCGGCCUUAUUCUGGGCAAGCUGGAAUACAGUACCCACUUACCCCUUGUGGAGAGGAAUUUGGGAGAAGACCUGGAUCUGGGGUUCUAAUCCACGUUCCACAUGGACCAUGCAGGGUAAAUGCUGGCAAUAGUUCUAGUUUCACAGUUGUAAUUUGGACCUUUGAAUAUCAUUGAUAGCAAAAUAGCA
rnacentral:lncRNA from 1 species